GAAUUUGUCGUCGAGAAUUAGUACAGAUCGAAAUAUAAUGUUUCUUAUCAUUUUUAUAAAAUGAAAGUAAAUUAUUGAUUUACACAGUAUACAGGAAAAGACAACAGUUACAAAUGUUGUGUGACAAAUAUAUAUUGAACGGAUUGAGAUAUGCGCGUUUAAGGUUAUGCACGUACGUAACCUAUAAAGUAUAGAUAAUACGAGCGAAAUAUGAAGAGGAUUACAAAAGUGUGUCACGAGAAUUCGAGGGUUGCGGCGGUGGCAGG